CCUACGGGAGGCAGCAGUGGGGAAUAUUGCGCAAUGGGCGAAAGCCUGACGCAGUGACGCCGCGUGAGGGAUGAAGGUCUUCGGAUCGUAAACCUCUGUCAGCAGGGAAGAACGGUCACUGUGCUAAUCAGCAGCGAAUUGACGGUACCUGCAAAGGAAGCACCGGCUAACUCCGUGCCAGCAGCCGCGGUAAUACGGAGGGGGCGAGCGUUAGUCGGAAUUACUGGGCGUAAAGCGCUCGUAGGCGGUACGUCAAGUCAAGGGUGAAAUCCCCGCGCUCAACGUGGGAACUGCCUUUGAAACUGGCGAACUGGAGUGUGGGAGAGGAGAGUGGAAUUCCAGGUGUAGGAGUGAA
rnacentral:rRNA from 1 species